UUUGAAAUUGCUGGGUUAUAUGGUAACUCUGUGAUUAACUUUUUGAGGAAUUGCCAAACUGUUUUCCACAGUGACUGCACCAUUUUACAUUCCUACUAGCAGU
rnacentral:pre_miRNA from 1 species